rnacentral:lncRNA from 1 species
AUGUGGGUCGUUGGAGUGGCUGCUGCAAUUUUAAUGUAUGAGUGUCUGAGUAUCAUUUCAGGAGAGAACAAUGAGAAACUGUCGGCGAGGACUGAAGUGAAACUCAAAGUCUCAUGCCGUUGCCUUUACCGAGCAACACAAUUCACGGGGAGGUGUUUUGCCGAGAGACAGUUCGACGAGGCAGAGCUCUUGAGGAUCAGAAACCAGUUGAGCCUCUGCCUAGUUGCCAUGGAAACUGGAAUAGCGAACAACCUGAGAGCAGGCUGUCCUCUUCAGCAAGGCCCUCCCUCCCCGCCAAACAUCAAACCCCCACAGGAAGCUCUUGCGGUUCUUGAUUUUCAUAUUUUCCCGAGGAGCCUGAUGUUAUUCUGGGCACAGGCAGGUGAGGAAUGAGCUGGAGAUUCACCUCAGAUAUUUUUCCCCUCCAAAAAUCUGUUUUGAUGUUUCAUCUUUUCUCCGCCUCAAAGUUGUUUUUCUUUCAGGACGUUUUAGCAUUUAAGCUGAAUGUACAGCGGGUUUUAUACGCGCUCUAUUUAAAUCCAGCAGUCGGCUUUCGGUUGGA